AGUGAACGCUGGCGGUAGGCCUAACACAUGCAAGUCGAACGGCAGCACAGUAAGAGCUUGCUCUUACGGGUGGCGAGUGGCGGACGGGUGAGGAAUACAUCGGAAUCUACUUUUUCGUGGGGGAUAACGUAGGGAAACUUACGCUAAUACCGCAUACGACCUACGGGUGAAAGCAGGGGAUCUUCGGACCUUGCGCGAUUGAAUGAGCCGAUGUCGGAUUAGCUAGUUGGCGGGGUAAAGGCCCACCAAGGCGACGAUCCGUAGCUGGUCUGAGAGGAUGAUCAGCCACACUGGAACUGAGACACGGUCCAGACUCCUACGGGAGGCAGCAGUGGGGAAUAUUGGACAAUGGGCGCAAGCCUGAACCAGCCAUACCGCGUGGGUGAAGAAGGCCUUCGGGUUGUAAGGCCCUUUUGUUGGGAAAGAAAAGCAGCAGGUUAAUACCCCGCUGUUCUGACGGUACCCAAAGAAUAAGCACCGGCUAACUUCGUG
rnacentral:rRNA from 1 species